rnacentral:rRNA from 1 species
UACAGGGGGUGCAAGCGUUGUUCGGAAUCACUGGGCGUAAAGGGAGCGUAGGCGGAACUACAAGACAGGGGUCAAAUCUCCGGGCUCAACCUGGAACUUGCCUUUGUGACUGUGGUUCUUGAGUAUGGUAGAGGUCAGCGGAAUUUCCGGUGUAGCGGUGGAAUGCGUAGAGAUCGGAAAGAACACCAGAGGCGAAGGCGGCUGACUGGACCAAUACUGACGCUGAGGCUCGAAAGCGUGGGGAGCAAACAGG